rnacentral:rRNA from 1 species
AGGGCACCACCAGGAGUGGAGCCUGCGGCUUAAUUUGACUCAACACGGGGAAACUCACCCGGCCCGGACACAGUGAGGAUUGACAGAUUGAGAGCUCUUUCUUGAUUCUGUGGGUGGUGGUGCAUGGCCGUUCUUAGUUGGUGGAGCGAUUUGUCUGGUUAAUUCCGAUAACGAACGAGACUCUGACUUGCUAAAUAGUCGCGCCGGCCGCCGUGCCGGGCGCUGACUUCUUAGAGGGACAAGUGGCGUUCAGCCACGCGAGAUUGAGCAAUAACAGGUCUGUGAUGCCCUUAGAUGUCCGGGGCCGCACGCGCGCUACACUGAAGGGAUCAGCGGGUGUCCGCCCUUGGCCAGCAGGUCUGGGUAAUCCGUUGAACCCCCUUCGUGAUUGGGAUAGGGAGUUGCAAUUGUCUCCCUUUAACGAGGAAUUCCCAGUAAGCGCGAGUCAUCAGCUCGCGCUGAUUACGUCCCUGCCCUUUGUACACACCGCCCGUCGCUACUACCGAUUGAAUGGUUUAG